rnacentral:rRNA from 1 species
AUGAACGCUAGCGACAGGCUUAACACAUGCAAGUCGAGGGGCAUCAUGAGGUAGCAAUACCUUGAUGGCGACCGGCGCACGGGUGAGUAACGCGUAUGCAACCUGCCCGAUACCGGGGUAUAGCCCAUGGAAACGUGGAUUAACACCCCAUAGUACUUUUAUCCUGCAUGGGAUGUGAGUUAAAUGUUCAAGGUAUCGGAUGGGCAUGCGUCCUAUUAGUUAGUUGGCGGGGUAACAGCCCACCAAGACGAUGAUAGGUAGGGGUUCUGAGAGGAAGGUCCCCCACAUUGGAACUGAGACACGGUCCAAACUCCUACGGGAGGCAGCAGUGAGGAAUAUUGGUCAAUGGACGUAAGUCUGAACCAGCCAAGUCGCGUGAGGGAAGACUGCCCUAUGGGUUGUAAACCUCUUUUAUAAGGGAAGAAUAAGUUCUACGUGUAGAAUGAUGCCUGUACCUUAUGAAUAAGCAUCGGCUAACUCCGUGCCAGCAGCCGCGGUAAUACGGAGGAUGCGAGCGUUAUCCGGAUUUAUUGGGUUUAAAGGGUGCGUAGGCGGUUUAUUAAGUUAGUGGUUAAAUAUUUGAGCUAAACUCAAUUGUGCCAUUAAUACUGGUAAACUGGAGUACAGACGAGGUAGGCGGAAUAAGUUAAGUAGCGGUGAAAUGCAUAGAUAUAACUUAGAACUCCGAUAGCGAAGGCAGCUUACCAGGCUGUAACUGACGCUGAUGCACGAGAGCGUGGGUAGCGAACAGGAUUAGAUACCCUGGUAGUCCACGCCGUAAACGAUGCUCACUGGUUCUGUGCGAUAUAUUGUACGGGAUUAAGCGAAAGUAUUAAGUGAGCCACCUGGGGAGUACGUCGGCAACGAUGAAACUCAAAGGAAUUGACGGGGGCCCGCACAAGCGGUGGAGCAUGUGGUUUAAUUCGAAGCAACGCGAAGAACCUUACCAGGUCUUGACAUCCCGAUGCCCGCUCUAGAGAUAGAGCUUUACUUCAGUACAUCGGUGACAUGUGGUGCAUGGUUGUCGUCAGCUCGUGCCGUGAGGUGUCGGGUUAAGUCCCAUAACGAGCGCAACCCUUACCGUUAGUUGCUAGCAUGUAAUGAUGAGCACUCUAACGGGACUGCCACCGUAAGGUGAGAGGAAGGCGGGGAUGACGUCAAAUCAGCACGGCCCUUACACCCAGGGCUACACACGUGUUACAAUGGCCGGUACAGAGGGCUGCUACCAGGUGACUGGAUGCCAAUCUCAAAAGCCGGUCGUAGUUCGGAUUGGAGUCUGUAACCCGACUCCAUGAAGUUGGAUUCGCUAGUAAUCGCGCAUCAGCCAUGGCGCGGUGAAUACGUUCCCGGGCCUUGUACACACCGCCCGUCAAGCCAUGGAAGCCGGGGGUGCCUGAAGUCCGUAACCGCGAGGAUCGGCCUAGGGCAAAACUGGUAACUGGGGCU